rnacentral:rRNA from 1 species
UACAGAGGUGCCAAGCGUUAGGCGGAAUCACUGGGCUUAAAGCGCGUGUAGGUGGGUCGUUAAGUGUCCGCGUGAAAUCCCACGGCUCAACCGUGGAACUGCCGGGGCAUACUGGCGAUCUUGAGGCAUUCAGGGGCGAGCGGAACAAGUGGUGGAGCGGUGAAAUGCGGUAGAUAUCACUUGGAACGCCAAUGGUGAAAAACAGCUCGCUGGGAAUGAUCUGACACUGAGACGCGAAAGCCAGGGGAGCGAACGGG